AUUGAACGCUGGCGGCAUGCCUUACACAUGCAAGUCGAACGGCAGCAUGAUUUAGCUUGCUCGAUUGAUGGCGAGUGGCGAACGGGUGAGUAAUACAUCGGAACGUGCCCUGUAGCGGGGGAUAACGAGUCGAAAGCUUAGCUAAUACCGCAUGCGACCUGGGGGUGAAAGGGGGGGACCGCAAGGCCUAAUGCUAUAGGAGCGGCCGAUGUCUGAUUAGCUAGUUGGUGAGGUAAAGGCUCACCAAGGCGACGAUCAGUAGCUGGUCUGAGAGGACGAUCAGCCACACUGGGACUGAGACACGGCCCAGACUCCUACGGGAGGCAGCAGUGGGGAAUUUUGGACAAUGGGGGCAACCCUGAUCCAGCAAUGCCGCGUGUGUGAAGAAGGCCUUCGGGUUGUAAAGCACUUUUGUCCGGAAAGAAAUCGCACUUACUAAUAUUAGGUGUGGAUGACGGUACCGGAAGAAUAAGGACCGGCUAACUACGUGCCAGCCGCCGCGGUAAGAC
rnacentral:rRNA from 1 species